AUUUAUAUAGUUUAAAAAAAACUCUACAUUUUCACUGUAAAAAUAAAAUUAAUUUUUAUAAAUU
rnacentral:tRNA from 1 species